rnacentral:lncRNA from 1 species
UCUUUCUCCUGCAUUUGUAAAACGCUACUGAGGAACUUGAAGGGCCAAAGAGCCUCUGAAAUUAACUACAUUAGUUCAUGGGAGAAGAAUUUCUCAGUAAGACUAAACACAAUGGUGUAUGUAUAGAGUGCUAAUAUCCAGGGUUCUUUUUGGAAGAAGAAGGGAGGAAAGGGUGACUGCACUGUGUCUUUACAGGCUCAGAUGUAAGGAUUAUGUACUUUGUGAGUAGUUUUGGCACAGUUAAGACACAUUGGACAUGGUAACUGGUUUACAAUGGUACCAAAGUUGUCUUCUUUCUUUUCUUUUGAGGUUUGCAUAUAAUUCAGUGCUCAUAGCCUGGAGUAAAUCAUUCAAAUCUUCUGGCAGAAUAAGCUGAGCAGAACUGUUAACAGGAGAUUGCAUGCAGCAAAUCCAGCCUCCUUCCCAGCCAAGGCACUGAACCUACAGCCGUUCUCUUAAAUGUAAGCACCUGUGUCAGUAGCUCCUAUUGCAGGACUGGGGACCUACUUACUGCAUCUGAUUUAGGAGCAGAAUCCCCCCCCCUUGCUAAAAUAUUAUUCUUCAAACAGUUCACAGAUUAACAGCCAAGUUCUUCUUCUGCCCAAAUCCUCAGUUUUUACAGACACUACAGCCAAAUCUUCAGGUGGUGUAAACUGGUGUGGCUCCACUGAAGCUAAGAAAGUGUGAAUAGCAAAGACUUUGGAACUUUGGGCCAAAUACUGCACUGACAUGUAACCAGCAUUUGGCCCCCAUGUCAAAACUGGACGCAGACGUAACCUGAAGGAUGAGUUUCAGUUCACAUUUUGGAACAUAAUGAGGAGAGACAAAGGAAACUAUUUAUACAGGCAUGCGGUAUUCCUGAUACAGGCUAGAUACAGAAUGGGAACUUUUGCAAAGCUUCAGACAGUGGAUCUUACGUAGGGAGAGGAGGAGUGUCUUCUGAGGCAGAGAUGCAUCUCAUGAUAAACCUUGAUGUCUUCAUGUAUGUGCUUUUGAGUGGCAGCCAGCAAGGAGGGAUGUGGGUGUACUAGUGGAGCACCAAAGUGGUGCUCUCCUGCUUUCUGGCUUGUCCUUUCCCACCACGUGCAGGUAAGUGUCUCCUGGGCAGUGGCUUCUUCCUGC